CUGUGCUACCUUAAGAUUGUUGACUUUUCUUCUCUUGUCAAUCUUGAUUUUCUCUUUUGAAGGUUUUGAAGCCUUCUUUCUUCUUGCUAGCAAAUGAGAGAGAAACUAGUUGAUUUGGUCAAGAAUUUGAAUAGUAAACGGCUGCUGAUUUGGUGGUUCACCAGUAUGAUGCAUUUUCUUAGCGAAAAACUCAACUGGGUGUCAAUAAUUUUUAGUCCCCGGAACUAAUACCGAAGAAAACUAAGAGAACAUAUGAACAACAAGAAAUGUUGAUAGAGAGAGUAAA
rnacentral:lncRNA from 1 species